AAGUCGUAACAAGGUUUCCGUAGGUGAACCUGCGGAAGGAUCAUUAUUGAAUAAACUUGGUUGGGUUGCUGCUGGCUCUUAGGAGCAUGUGCACGCUCACUCCAUUUUUGACCACCUGUGCACAUAUUGUAGGCCUGAAUGGACAUUUCGAGGAAACUCGGUUUGAGAAUUGCUAAGAAAAUAAGCUGUUCUUGUAUAAUUCAGGUCUAUGUUUUAAAUCAUAUACACACCAAGUAACAGAAUGUUAAUUUAUAGGCCUUCUGUGCCUUUUAAAUCUAAUACAACUUUCAACAACGGAUCUCUUGGCUCUC
rnacentral:misc_RNA from 1 species